rnacentral:rRNA from 1 species
AGGAUGAACGCUGGCGGCGUGCCUAACACAUGCAAGUCGAACGUCCUGUCUCGCAAGAGGCAGGGAGUGGCGGACGGGUGAGUACCACGUGGGUUAUCUACCGUGAGGUGAGGAAUACCGGCGAGAAAUCGCCGACAAGACCGCAUAGCCUCGGUGCAAGCCGAGCAAAGCUCUUUCGAGAGAGGGAGCGCCACACGAGGAGCCUGCGCCCGAUUAGCUAGCUGGUGGAGUAACGGUUCACCAGGGCGACGAUCGGUAGCUGGUCUGAGAGGACGAUCAGCCACACUGGGAUUGAGAACGGCCCAGACUCCUACGGGGGGCAGCAGUGAGGAAUUUUCCGCAAUGGGCGCAAGCCUGACGGAGCAACGCCGCGUGCAGGACGACGGCCUUCGGGUUGUAAACUGCUUUCUGGGGACGAGCAAGGACGGUACCCAGGAAUCAGCCCGGCUAACUACGUGCCAGCAGCCGC